rnacentral:rRNA from 1 species
GUGGAUUAGAUACCCUGGUAGUCCACACCGUAAACGUUGGGCGCUAGGUGUGGGACUCAUUCCACGAGUUCCGUGCCGCAGCUAACGCAUUAAGCGCCCCGCCUGGGGAGUACGGCCGCAAGGCUAAAACUCAAAGGAAUUGACGGGGGCCCGCACAAGCGGCGGAGCAUGCGGAUUAAUUCGAUGCAACGCGAAGAACCUUACCUGGGUUUGACAUAUGCCGGAAAGCCGUAGAGAUACGGCCCCUUUUAGUCGGUAUACAGGUGGUGCAUGGCCGUCGACAACU